rnacentral:rRNA from 1 species
GUGCCAGCCGCCGCGGUAAAACGUAGGUGGCAAGCGUUAUCCGGAUUUACUGGGCGUAAAGCGUGUGCAGGCGGACCGUCAAGUGGUGUAUGAAAUCGCCCGGCUCAACCGGGCGGGGUUAGGCCAGACUGACGGACUGGAGUGCGGGAGAGGGGCGUGGAAUUCCGGGUGUAGUGGUGAAAUGCGUAGAGAUCCGGAGGAACCCCAGCGGCGAAGGCGGCGCCCUGGCCCGCAACUGACGCUCAGACACGACAGCAUGGGGAGCGAACGGGAUUAGAUACCCCCGUAGUCC